CCUACGGGAGGCAGCAGUGAGGAAUAUUGGUCAAUGGCCGAGAGGCUGAACCAGCCAAGUCGCGUGAGGGAAGACGGCCCUACGGGUUGUAAACCUCUUUUGUCGGGGAGCAAAGCGGACCACGUGUGGUUCAUUGAGAGUACCCGAAGAAAAAGCAUCGGCUAACUCCGUGCCAGCAGCCGCGGUAAUACGGAGGAUGCGAGCGUUAACAGGAUUUGUUGGGGUUAAGGGGUGCGCAGGCGGAAGAUCAAGUCAGCGGUAAAAUUGAGGGGCUCAACCUCUUCGAGCCGUUGAAACUGGUUUUCUUGAGUGAGUGAGAAGUAUGCGGAAUGCGUGGUGUAGCGGUGAAAUGCAUAGAUAUCACGCAGAACUCCGAUUGCGAAGGCAGCAUACCGGCGCUCAACUGACGCUCAUGCACGAAAGUGUGGGUAUCGAACAGGAUUAGAUACCCCAGUAGUC
rnacentral:rRNA from 1 species